AUCUAAAAGCUACUGGUGAGUUGGUAAUAGGUAGUGCAGAUGUCAACAAAACCAUAGUUUCCUACUGUCAAUAACAAACAUGUUUCUAUAUGGCAAACAAAUAAAAUGCUAUAAUGUAAAUACUGAAGAGUGAUCCUGUUUAUAAUGAGUUGGGCCUUCUAGGAAAACUCUUGUCAAAGCAGCAAUUCUCUACUAGCUGUGUGAUUGUAAACUUGACUUUGGAACUGGCUCUUGUAAUACAGUCUGCUAUAGCCUUCAUACAUAUUACCACUGUAUUCAUACAUAUUACUACUGUAGGGGUUUGGAAAUCAAGGGGACAAAUUGUGGGGUGUUAAAAACCACAAACUUAUUUCCAAACCUAUGGCUUCAAAUUUUACAUACUUUGCUUAGUGCCCAGAUAAAGAGCUGUACAAUGUUUUUUCUGCAUCCAGUGAGAUGAUCAUGCAAUUUUUGUCCUUCAUUCUAUUAAUAUGGUGUAAUACAUGACUGAUACUUGCCUACUGAACCUGUCUUGCAACAACUACUACAUGUGCCCCCAGGUUAUGUGUUAAUAAUGUGUGUGAGAUUUUCAAUUAUACUAGCUCUAUCCUGCACAAGAAUAUCAUGCCAUCAAAUGCAGAAAUCCUUAGCAAAAAAUUCUGGACAUAGUAUUUCCAAUAAAAUCAAUAACUUAUCAAGCAGUUCUAAGUACCCUGUGAGGAGCCAAUAUUGCAAUGACUUUUAGAACUCCAGUUAGAAGAAAUGAACAAGUCAUUGUUCUUAAGCUGCAUGAGGAGGGGCCUCAGAGAAUAUGAAACUACAAGGGCAAAUAAUAAGCCAUUUCCCAAAACAUCCCCUAAGAACAAAGGAAGCAUAAGGCCAGUCGCUGCAAAACAGGUAACACACCCCAAAAUAUCUUCUCUCAGCCAACAUGAAGAGAUUUUAAGAUAGCGGGGAAAACAUGAGAACCUAAGAAACUGAAAACAAUCAAACAACUGAAAUAACAAGCAGCAACUGGCAAACAGCUAGGAAAAAAAAGCAGCUGGGGAAAAUUCAAAAAGAGAUAGCCCUUCUCCAGGAGCUAGAAGAUUUAGAAAUGAGUCUU
rnacentral:lncRNA from 1 species